rnacentral:rRNA from 1 species
ACUCCUACGGGAGGCAGCAGUAGGGAAUCUUCCACAAUGGGCGCAAGCCUGAUGGAGCAACACCGCGUGAGUGAAGAAGGGUUUCGGUCUCGUAAAGCUCUGUUGUUAAAGAAGAACACGUAUGAGAGUAACUGUUCAUACGUUGACGGUAUUUAACCAGAAAGUCACGGCUAACUACGUGCCAGCAGCCGCGGUAAUACGUAGGUGGCAAGCGUUAUCCGGAUUUAUUGGGCGUAAAGAGAGUGCAGGCGGUUUUCUAAGUCUGAUGUGAAAGCCUUCGGCUUAACCGGAGAAGUGCAUCGGAAACUGGAUAACUUGAGUGCAGAAGAGGGUAGUGGAACUCCAUGUGUAGCGGUGGAAUGCGUAGAUAUAUGGAAGAACACCAGUGGCGAAGGCGGCUACCUGGUCUGCAACUGACGCUGAGACUCAAAAGCAUGGGUAGCGAACAGGAUUAGAUACCCUGGUAGGAUAGCG